GCCCUACUAGUACUAGGAGCUGUAAGUGUACUUCUCCUGCUCCUGUUGGAUAAUCGUCUCUGUAAUCUUCAGUUUCACCGCCCUCUGCAUUCCCCUCCAAGUUAGGGUGUUGUUUUCCGGUAAACUGAUCCCUCUUCCAGCGAAGGUUCAAAAAUCCAACUCCUUGUUCAUUUAUCGUUGUUAUUGCUUUGUAGGUUGUUUUUAAGUUCUUAGCGAGGUCAGAUAGUAUAGAGAUACUCUUGGAUUCCAGUUUGUAACCCUACGUUUUGUUUUGGUUCGUGAAGCUUUACUAACUUCAAACUGUUGCAUAUUGGGACGUUGAUUGCUGUUGAAUGUGGUAGUUUUGUGAUGGAUGCAAAUUGGAAAGCCUCAAAAAGUGGGGAAAUAGGCAUGACGGCGGCCGAGGUGGUGAUUGCAAUCUCCGGAGAGGGUUUUCAAACUAGCAAUGGUGUGGAUUCUGGUCACAGGUCGUCGACGCCUGCACCGGCACCGGAACCGGCGCCGGGGCCGGUACACUCUUCUUCGCCGGAGAUUGCUCGGUUCAGUCCCAGCCCUAACAAGCCUCCCAGGCCCCCCAAUCCCGAAACCCUUUCUCGCCGAAAAUCACUGGCGAGGUCGGUGCUCUCAAAGCCCAAAUCAAGAUUUGGGGAGCCGUCUGUUCCUCUUGAUUCCAAUUUGAUUGAAGAAAUUGGCAUGGCUAUGCAAGGCACAGCCGAACAGAGACUGGGUUCGCCUAUUGCUUUCUUAUCUAACCAGGGAUCGCCGGCCAGCAAAAUGGCACUUUCUAGUACUACUCUUAAGGAGAGUAUGAGAUCAGAUUCAUUCUUGAUAACUCCACGAACACCUUUAAUGGCGUCACCGGGUGGCGAAGUAGGGGAGGACGAUGACGAGAAGAUCUUUAAAAAAGUGACUAGUCGGCGUAAGUUGAAGUACCGGAGGGUGAAAAUGAUGGUUCUGGUUGAAUGGAUUGUGUUCUUCUGCCUCUUGGCAACUCUUGUGGCUAGCUUGACUGUGCACGAGUUAGAACAUGAUAUGAUUUGGGGUUUGGAGGUUUGGAAAUGGUGUCUGCUUGUUUUGGUGACCUUCUCUGGCUUGUUGGUUACCAAGUGGUCCAUCAGUUUUGUUGUAUUCUUGAUUGAACGCAAUUAUUUGUUCAGAAAGAAGGUGCUGUACUUUGUUCAUGGUUUGAGGAAGAGUGUUAGGGUCUGCAUCUGGUUGGCUCUGGUUCUUCUUACUUGGGUCUUGUUGUUCAACCAUGGCGUCCACAGAUCGGAGAAGGCGACCGAAAUUUUUGACAAGGCCACCAAAAUUUUGCACUAUGUUACUUUGACCAUUGUGUCUUUGCUCAUUGGGUCUUUUUUGUGGGUUUUAAAGACAUUGCUGCUAAAGAUUUUGGCAUCCUCUUUCCAUGUCAAUAGAUUCUUUGACAGGAUUCAAGAAUCAAUCUUCCACCAAUACAUUGUCCAAACUCUUUCUGGGCCUCCAGUUUUGGAGUCAGAGCAGAUGAUCAGUAGAACAAACACCAGUCUUUUCAGUUUUCGAAUGAACAAGAAGAAGAAGGAUGGGAAGGAAAAGGACAUGAUUGACAUAGAGAAGUUGUAUAGGAUGAAACAAGAAAAAGUUUCUGCUUGGACCAUGAAGGUAUUGGUUGAUUUUGUAUCAACUUCAGGGCUGUGCACCAUCACCAAUGCUCUUGAGGAAAAUUUUUAUGAUGGAGGAGAUGAACAGACAGACAAGGAAAUUAGCAACGAAAUGGAAGCAAUAGCCGCUGCCUAUCACAUUUUCAAGAAUGUUGCUCAUACUGAUGGCACGUAUAUCUAUGAGGAGGACCUAAGGAGGUUCUUGAUUAAGGAAGAGGUUGAUGCUGUUUUUCCAUUGUUUGAAGGAUCAGAGACUGGACGAAUUGACCGGAAAGCUUUGACAGACUGGGUGGUGAAAGUUUACAAAGGCCGGAAAGCUCUUGCACAUGCUUUAAAUGAUACCAAAACAGCAGUGAAACAAUUGGACAAACUUGUUACAGGGAUCCUUGUUAUUAUUAUCAUUAUCGUGUGGCUUCUUCUGAUGGAAAUUGCAACAACAAAAGUACUUCUGGUCCUCUCGUCACAGCUUGUAGUGGCAGCUUUUAUGUUUGGAAACACUUGCAAAACCAUAUUUGAGGCUAUCAUAUUUGUGUUUGUGAUGCAUCCAUUUGAUGUUGGUGACCGUUGUGUCAUAGAUGGUGUUCAGAUGGUAGUUGAAGAGAUGAAUAUCUUGACGACAGUCUUCUUAAGAUAUGACAAUGAAAUGAUUUACUACCCGAACUCUGUUUUAGCUACCAAGCCCAUCAGCAAUUUCUAUAGAAGCCCUGAUAUGGGUGAUUCUUUUGAGUUCUCUAUUGAUUUCAGAACACCAGUGGAGAAGGUUGGAGCUUUAAAAGACAAAAUAAAAAUGUAUUUGGAGAGAAAUUUCCAACACUGGCAUCCUAGCCACAAUCUGGUGGUUAAGGAAAUUGAAAAUGUCAACAAGAUAAAGAUGGCUCUCUUUUUUAGUCACAAGAUGAAUUUUCAAGAGUAUGGAGAGAAGAUGAGGCGGAGAACUGAAUUGGUCAUACAGAUGAAACAAAUUUUUGAAGAGCUGGGUAUCAAUUAUAAUCUACUCCCUCAAGAAGUUCAUCUUGUACAGUGAGCAGCGACUAAUUGGACCUCCAGAUAUUGUUACUCUUGGUCAUUUUGUGAUUAUUCAAUCAUGGCUACACAGGUUCAGAGUAGUGGUGAACAAGGAGGAGAUCGUGGUAAUCGGGGCAAACGCCCCAAGUGAAACUAUUGUCGCAAGUGGGGGCAUACUAAGGAACAGUGUUAUAAGUUGCAUGGUCGUCCUCUCAUGUUAAUGUUGUUCAUGCUGAUGGUUCUCGAUCUGAGUCAUUUGAUGGUCAUCCACCGCAAUCUGUCCUUCUCACUGGAGUUGACUAUGAUGAGUAUCUCAAAUAUAAGACGUUCCAACAAACCUCAUCCACAGUUGCUUCUGUCGCCCACUUUGGUGAUUCCAUUGCUUGUCUCGCUCAGUCAUCCUUUUUGGGACCAUGGGUCCUGGACUCAGGUGCUUCUAACCAUAUAUCUGGAUUGUGGUACGAGACAGAUGAUUGGCGUCGGAUGUGAGUCGCAGAGUCUUUAUCAUCUCAACCUUCCUGCAUCGCCUAUUGCUUGCUCAGUGACUGAGUCUCUUGCUCUUCUCCACAAUCGUUUGGGACAUCCUAGUUUGGCUAAGUUUCAGAAGAUGGUCCCCAGUUUAUCUUGUUUGUCGUCUUUUUAUUGUGAGUCUUGUCAACUUGGAAAAUAGUCUCGCACUUCUUUUCCAAAGCAUGUCAAUAAUUGGGCUAUGUCCCCGUUUGCUUUAGUUCAUUCCGAUGUCUAGGGUCCUAGUCGCGUCGUGUUUGUUUUAGGUUUUCAAUAUUUUGUAAUGUUUAUCGAAGAUUAUUCUCGUUGCACAUGGUUAUAUUUAAUAAAAAAUCGUUUUGAGUUAUUCUCAAUUUUUGAAUGCUUUUGUGCUGAAAUCAAAACUCAAUUUUAUACCUCUGUCCAAGUAUUGCGCAGUGACAAUACCCCUGAGUAUUUUUCUAUUCCUUUUACUACCUUUAUGUUUUCUCAGGGGAUCUUGCAUCAGUCUUCUUGUGCAUAUACACCACAACAGAAUGGGGUUGCUGAGCGCAAAAACUGACAUUUGAUUGAAACUGCUCGCACUCUUCUUCUACAUCAUCAUGUCCCUUUUCGCUUUUGGGCUGAAGUUGUCCUUGCUGCUUGCUAUCUCAUUAACAUGAUGCUUUCCUCAGUUCUUCAGCACCAGAUUCCUCACUCUCUCUUGUUUCCUGAUCAACCAUUAUAUAUUCUUCCUCCUCGUGUCUUUGGUUGCACUUGCUUUGUCCAUAACCUGUCUCCCAGUCAAGAUAAAUUAUCUGCUCGGUCCAUCAAGUGCAUUUUUCUUGGUUACUCUCGCCUCAGAAGGGUUAUCGGUGUUAUUCUCCUGACACCCGCCGCUAUUUUCUUUCGACGGAUGUUAUCUUCUUUGAGUUGUCUCCUUUCUACUCUUUGCCUUAUUCCGAGUGUCAACCCAUUUCUAAGGCAAUCCCUCUUCUCGUGAGUCCUCCUACUCUUAUUCUCCCCGUUCCUUCUUCUACCCUAUUGCAGGUUUAUCAUUGGCGUCAUUAGCCUCGGUCUCCUCUCGGUGGAGAUGUUGUUCCUGCGUCUUCUCCCGUAUCUCCCACUACUUUCGCGACUCCUGCUGCCUCACAUCCUGCUCCAGUCUCUCCACUUGUUGCAGUCCUACCUUCUGAGGAUUUGCUUCCCAUUGCCCUUCGGAAAGAUACUACUACGAGGAGGCGAGGAUAUCUCUUGCCUGUGUGGAGGAAGGAGACUGUGGUUGGUUUGAAGACCAUGCUGAAGUUGUUUGUAUUUUCUGUUUCUUCAUGUGUCAGUUCUAUGCUAUCUACCAUAAAACGAGUCUUCACAAUCUUUCUUUCUGUUUGCUCAUUUAUUUUUUCCUGAUUCCAUGUAGCCUUUAUGAAUAGUAAAUGUUAAUGACUGUUCAAAUUGAGCUGCAGAUGUAAGAUAUUGUUACAAUACAUAUCCUGAAAUGCAUAUUUUACAAGGUCAACGAGACAAUAGAAAUUUCCAGCUUCAAGUUUUGCAGGAUUGGGGCCAUGACCAUAAACAAAGCUUAUUGCUUCAACGGGGCAUGCUCAAGCUUUUAGCUUUUGGUCCCAGUUGAUCAUUAAGGGCUUUAAUUUAUG